UAGGUUGCUGUCCAUAGCUAGCACUUC
rnacentral:piRNA from 1 species